rnacentral:rRNA from 1 species
GUAGGUGGCAAGCGUUGUUCGGAAUUAUUGGGCGUAAAGCGCGCGCAGGCGGUCCUUUAAGUCUGAUGUGAAAGCCCACGGCUCAACCGUGGAGGGUCAUUGGAAACUGGGGGACUUGAGUACAGAAGAGGAAAGCGGAAUUCCAAGUGUAGCGGUGAAAUGCGUAGAGAUUUGGAGGAACACCAGUGGCGAAGGCGGCUUUCUGGUCUGUAACUGACGCUGAGGCGCGAAAGCGUGGGGAGCAAACAGGAUUAGAUACCCUGGUAGUCCACGCCGUAAACGAUGAGUGCUAAGUGUUAGGGGGUUUCCCGCCCCCCUUAGUGCUGCAGCUAACGCAUUAAGCACUCCGCCUGGGGAGUACGGCCGCAAGGCUG